UCGGUAUUCGACCAUUGCAGCGUCUCGUACGUAGAUCCUCCUUUUCCGAGGCAACGGCAGUAUGGCCGCAGCAGCCAAAGCGACGUCGUCAUCGGGAGCGACAUCGGUGCUAGUGCGUAAAUCCUUUGAGAAGAGAUAGAAGAAGCUAGCGAGGAGAGAGAGACAUACAUUGGGGCUUUCAAUACGUCAUCACGGUGCCUAGUUCUUCGCAGUACUCAUUCAACUUCCAACCACGAAGGGCAGGAGUUAUACAUGGCAUCGCACAAUUCGUUUACAGAUCCAUCUCGACUGGGUGAAGACGAAGGGAAGUAUCUCGUCGAACAGACUCGGUGAUGUCCUGAUUUGGUUUCAUCACGCAAUGGUCAUCUACCAGGAAGAAAAACAAAUAUCACAUGUAAAAUUCAAGUCACGAUGUAACAACCACUCAUAUUUAUAUUAUUUUUGUA
rnacentral:misc_RNA from 1 species